UAAAACUAUACUGAGAAGAGAAUGACUGAGUAAGUUUGCAGAUGAAGUUAUGAAAACAGGGCUUAGCUUGUCCGCCUGUCAUUUUGUAGAAUAGUUGUAUGAUACCAGUAUUACCAGAAUUUUUUGCACAAAGUUCAUGUUGGAAGAAAAAGUAGACCAUUUGGUAUUGGUGGGUCUUUAACUCUUCUAAUUUGUUGAAUACCGAUGGAUAAAAAUAAAUGCUAUAGCCUAUAAUUAACGGUCAAUGCGAAUACGAUAAUGUUAUUACACACCGAUAGCCACACGAAAACUACAUGCAGAUAUAGACCUGCCACAGUUCGCUACUGCGAAAAUCUAAAGUGGUAAUAUUGGACUGGGAAUUCACGGCAUGGGAAAUUUUGACUGGGUGUGGGGGUGGGAGGCACCAAUCUAGAAUAAGGACGUCAACGCCGAGGUGCACAGCAAGCGCUGAAUGCGGAUAGGUGUUCGAGGGGUGUCUUCGUCUAUGUUACGGAAAUCAUGGGGUUCUCCCCCCUGGAAUUUUUUUUAAAUACAGGUAUGAAAUGGUGGCCUCUGGUGCAUCUACUGGUGGCUGUACAACCUCAUUUUAGGGGGUGGGUUCAGGGGGCGCUCCCCUUGAUUUUUUUUUAAUACAGGCAUGAAAUGGUGGCCUCUGGUGCAUUUUGAGGUCUAAAUUUUGAGGCAAUGGAUGUGUUACUCCCUUUUCGAUUGGGAGGUCAGUUUUGAAAUAUACAUGUAUGUAAUAGUGGCCUCUAGUGCGUUUCUGGGUUUUGGGCUAAUUUUGAGAAAAAAAAUAGGGUAAGUAGGUUUGAUUUUUUUUAUCAAGGGAGACUUUUCGGAAAUUAUUUUAUUAUUUUUGUGUCAAAAAUAAAUACUAAUAAGGGGUUACAUAAGGCGGUUAUUCUUUAAAACAUCAGUAAGUUGAUUUCUAACAUCACUGGCCAUGAUUUAAGCAUAAAAAGUGCAUUUUUGCAACUUUUGUUAAAAAAAAGUAUUCUCCAAGGCCAUAAAAACAUUUAGGGUCUGGCCAAAAAUUAAGGGUACGUCGAAAACAACCAUUUUUACGCCUUAUCAACGAUAACAUACUGGUCAUAAUGCAGUAAUUCGGUCGAAAGAAGUUCCUAAUAAAUAGAUCCUAAUUUUUCCAUUUGAGGGUACCUGACUUCAGUUGACUUGCAUUUUACUGCAUACUAUUCAACACCCCUUUUUCUUUUCGUUUUCUUGAAGCAAAUGUAUGGAUAUCUUGUGGAAAAUAAGUCUACGACGGAGUGAAAAUCUAGAAACUGUAAUAAAAUUGUUCUGAAGUAGCUGAAUUUUAUAUGAAACAAAGAACAAUUUCUUUUAUUGGUAUAUAGCCUACUGAUUUAUUUUCGGUAGUGCACAGUUACUUCCCUUUAACCAAAAUACGCCAUUUGCACCGGCUGUCCCAGAAGAAAAGAACAUUUUUGUGCAGAUGUUUUUGUACUAGUAUGCACGUAUUCGCUCCUGUUAGGCGUGAUAACUUAUUUGCAGGUCGCUGAACUUCAUCAAGUCACAUGCCAGAAUGUACAAACGUAAGGGAGUGAGCAGUCAUAAUAGAAUUAGAACGUACAGUCGAUAUCGACACUAUACUGUACAGUUUGAUGUACUGUAGUGGAUGGAUUGUCAGGGGAAGUAACUAGAGUUGCGGAUUUGGACUAGGGCGUAACUUGCCAACAACAAAAAAAAGAGAAAAUUUUAGAAAUCUGGAGGUCAAUGCCUUUAGCUGUCAUACAAAUUCACCCAUGGUGAUACUUAUCAAGAAGUGUGAUGUACAAGGAAAGCAGAAUGCCUAGAGACCAGUUACUUCAGAAUUGAAGAGAUGCAGGUCUUUAUUCUACAUGUGAAAGAGGGAAUUACAGUGGAUAUUUGGAUUUAUCAGUGUGAUGUACAAGGAAAGCAGAAUGCCUAGAGACCAGUUACUUCAGAAUUGAAGAGAUGCAGGUCUUUAUUCUACAUGUGAAAGAGGGAAUUACAGUGGAUAUUUAGAUUUAUCAGUGAAAACCUGUGAAGUGUUAGUGAAGCAGAAUAGUUACAGAUCAUAAGAGAUGCGGGUCUUUGUUCAGCAUGGUGUAUAUGGAAAACAUAGUGGAUGGCCAGCAUAGAAAACAUUUAACAAUGUGAAGCAACAGUCGAGCAGAAUGGUUACAGACUAUUAAUUCAGAACUGAAGAGAUGCAGGUAUUGUUCUACAAGCUGUAUGAGGGAACUAUUGUGGAAUUUUGGAUUUCUUGGCAGUCAUAUAGAAAUAUUAAUAAACAACCAGAUAAUUUAUAUUAAGAAUCAUUUACCACUUACAAGCUGCAUUUAGAGUUACAGAAUAGCUGAAC